rnacentral:rRNA from 1 species
UACGGAGGGAGCUAGCGUUGUUCGGAAUUACUGGGCGUAAAGCGCGCGUAGGCGGCUUUGUAAGUUAGAGGUGAAAGCCCGGAGCUCAACUCCGGAACUGCCUUUAAAACUGCAUCGCUUGAAUCCAGGAGAGGUGAGUGGAAUUCCGAGUGUAGAGGUGAAAUUCGUAGAUAUUCGGAAGAACACCGGUGGCGAAGGCGGCUCUCUGGACCGAUACUGACGCUGAGGCGCGAAAGCGUGGGGAGCAAACAGG